rnacentral:lncRNA from 1 species
UUUAUACUGGUAUAUUAAAUAAUAUUAUAUUUGUGAAGACAGAGAUUUAUGUCUUACAAUGUAAAUGAAAAACAGACAAACCUAAUCAGAUAUCUGGCUGGUGAAGCCAUUGGUCAGUGUUAGGAAUUUCCAGUCAGGAGAAGACCCUCUAGUGCAGACCCUGAGUCCUCUGGAGAGAGUAGACAAACGAGUUUCACAUUUCCAGAGGAAACAUCACAAGUUAGAUGUGAAAAAUGCCCCAAGGCUCGUGCAGUUGCUGAAAGUAAUCAUUACUUCUAGGUAGAAAGUAUUUUAGUACUUUUGCAAAAGGAUAAUGUUUAUUAAGAAAACUUGACAUUUUCUAGGUAAUUUUGCUUUGCACAGUCAUGUUUAUUGAGCUAAAUUAAUUUCCACAAUGCAAAUCAUAGUUAAAUAUGCAAGGUUGUGUAAAUAC